AAUAGAUACCCGGGUAGUCCACGCCGUAAACGAUGGAUACUAGCUGUUUGAGCGCAAGUUUGAGUGGCUAAGCGAAAGUGAUAAGUAUCCCACCUGGGGAGUACGGGCGCAAGCCUGAAACUCAAAGGAAUUGACGGGGGCCCGCACAAGCGGUGGAGCAUGUGGUUUAAUUCGAUGAUACGCGAGGAACCUUACCAGGGCUUAAAUGUAGAUUGACGUAUUUGGAAACAGAUAUUUCUUCGGACAAUUUACAAGGUGCUGCAUGGUUGUCGUCAGCUCGUGCCGUGAGGUGUCAGGUUAAGUCCUAUAACGAGCGCAACCCCUGUUGUUAGUUGUCAGCGAGUAAUGUCGGGAACUCUAGCAAGACUGCCAGUGUAAACUGUGAGGAAGGUGGGGAUGACGUCAAAUCAUCACGGCCCUUACGUCCUGGGCCACACACGUGCUACAAUGGCCGGUACAGAGAGCAGCCACUUAGCGAUAAGGAGCGAAUCUAUAAAGCCGGUCACAGUUCGGAUCGGAGUCUGCAAC
rnacentral:rRNA from 1 species